rnacentral:rRNA from 1 species
AUUGAACGCUGGCGGCAGGCCUAACACAUGCAAGUCGAGCGAGCGGCGGACGGGUGAGUAAUGUAUGGGGAACUGCCUGAUAGAGGGGGAUAACUACUGGAAACGGUGGCUAAUACCGCAUACUAUCGGAUGUACCCAGAUGGGAUUAGCUAGUAGGUGGGGUAACGGCUCACCAAGGCGACGAUCCCGAGCUGGUCUGAGAGGAUGACCAGCCACACUUGAACUGAGACACGGCCCAGACUCCUACGGGAGGCAGCAGUGGGGAAUAUUGCACAAUGGGCGCAAGCCUGAUGCAGCCAUGCCGCGUGUAUGAAGAAGGCCUUAGGGUUGUAAAGUACUUUCAGCGGGGAGGCGUUACCCGCAGAAGAAGCACCGGCUAACUCCGUGCCAGCAGCCGCGGUAAUUC